rnacentral:rRNA from 1 species
GCUUAAACAUGCAAGUCGAGCGGAAAGGCCCCUCGGGGUACUCGAGCGGCGAACGGGUGAGUAACACGUGAGCAAUCUGCCUUUAGCUUUGGGAUAACCCUCGGAAACGGGGGCUAAUACCGAAUAUUCAUUGACUGUCGCAUGGCGGUUGAUAGAAAGUUUUUCGGCUAGAGAUGAGCUCGCGGCCUAUCAGCUUGUUGGUGGGGUAAUGGCCUACCAAGGCGACGACGGGUAGCCGGCCUGAGAGGGCGACCGGCCACACUGGGACUGAGACACGGCCCAGACUCCUACGGGAGGCAGCAGUGGGGAAUAUUGCACAAUGGGCGAAAGCCUGAUGCAGCGACGCCGCGUGAGGGAUGACGGCCUUCGGGUUGUAAACCUCUUUCAGCAGGGACGAAGCGCAAGUGACGGUACCUGCAGAAGAAGCGCCGGCCAACUACGUGCCAGCAGCCGCGGUAAGACGUAGGGCGCAAGCGUUGUCCGGAUUUAUUGGGCGUAAAGAGCUCGUAGGCGGCUUGUUGCGUCGACUGUGAAAACCCGCGGCUCAACCGUGUGGUCUGCAGUCGAUACGGGCAGGCUAGAGUUCGGUAGGGGAGACUGGAA